GCUGAAUACACACACACACACAGUCCGCUGAAUACACACACUGCUGAGUACACACACAGACUGCUGAAUACACACACACACAGACUGCUGAAUGCACGCACACACACAGACUGCUGAAUACACACACAAUCUGCAUUGAGGGGUGUAGUGUAUGUGUUUGUGUGUGGGGUGCUGUGUGUGUGCUGUGUGUGAGGGUUGCUGUGUGUGUGUGAGGGUUGCUGUGUGUGUCUGAGGGUUGCUGUGUGUGUGUGAGGGUUGCUGUGUGUGUGUGUGUGAGGGUUGCUGUGUGUGUGUGUGAGGGGUGUUGUGUGUGUGUAUGAGGGGUGCUGUGUGUGUGUGUGAGUGUGAGGGGUGUUGUGUGUGUAUGAGGGGUGUUGUGUGUGUAUGAGGGGUGCUGUGUGUGUGUAUGAGUGGUGCUGUGUGUGUGUGAGGGUGCUGUGUGUGUGUGUGUGUGUGUGUGUGAGGGGUGCUGUGUGUGUGUGUGUGUGUGUAUGAGAGGUGGUGUGUGUGUGUG